rnacentral:lncRNA from 1 species
GUUACUGAACUGCCUGCUGUGGGUUUAAACCCUAACAACUCCAUUACUAGGUUACUGAACUGUCCUGCUGUGGGUUUAAACACUAACAACUCCAUUAUUAGAUUACUGAACUGUCCUGCUGUGGGAUUAAACCCUAACACCUCCAUUAUUAGGUUACUGAACUGUCCAGCUGUGGGUUUAAUCCCUAACAACUGCAUUACUAGGUUACUGAACUGUCCUGCUGUGGGUUUAAACCCUAACAACCCCCUUAAUAGGUUAUUGAACUGUCACGCUGUGGGUUUAAACCCUAACAACCCCCUUACUAGAUUACUGAACUGUCCUGCUGUGGGAUUAACGCCUAACAACUCCAUUACUAGGUUACUGAACUGUCCUGCUGUGGGUUUAAACCCUAACACCUCCAUUAUUAGGUUACUGAACUGUCCUGCUGUGGGUUUAAUCCCUAACAACUGCAUUACUAGGUUACUGAACUAUCCUGCUGUGGGUUUACACCCUAACAACUCCAUUACUAGGUUACUGAACUGUCACGCUGUGGGUUCAGUCCCUAACAACUCCAUUACUAGGUUACUGAACUGUCCUGCUGUGGGUUUAAUUCCCAACAACUCCAUUACUAGGUUACUGAACUGUGCUGCUGUGGGUUUAAACCCUCACAACUCCAUUAUUAGGUUACUGAACUGUCCUGCUGUGGGUUUAAUUCCUAACAACUCCAUUAUUAGGUUACUGAACUGUCCUGCUGUGGACUUAAUUCCUAACAACUCCAUUACUAGGUUACUGAACUGUCCUGCUGUGGGUUUAAUUCCUAACAACUCCAUUACUAGGUUACUAAACUGUCCUGCUGUGGGUUUAAACCCUAACAACUCCAUUACUAGGUUACUGAACUGUCCCGCUGUGGGUUUAAACCCUAACAACUCCAUUACUAGGUUACUGAACUGUCCUGCUGUGGCCUUAAUCCCUAACCAGUCUAUUAUAAGGCUACUGAAACACUCUGGACGUGUCAAGACGAGGACUCCCAACAUUGAGUCCACUAUACAGUCAGAACAAUUGGACAUUCCUAACUGA